rnacentral:rRNA from 1 species
UUAGCGACAGGCUUAACACAUGCAAGUCGAGGGGCAGCACAGGUAGCAAUACCGGGUGGCGACCGGCGCACGGGUGAGUAACGCGUAUGCAACUUGCCUAUCAGAGGGGGAUAACCCGGCGAAAGUCGGACUAAUACCGCAUGAAGCAGGGGCCCCGCAUGGGGAUAUUUGCUAAAGAUUCAUCGCUGAUAGAUAGGCAUGCGUUCCAUUAGGCAGUUGGCGGGGUAACGGCCCACCAAACCGACGAUGGAUAGGGGUUCUGAGAGGAAGGUCCCCCACAUUGGUACUGAGACACGGACCAAACUCCUACGGGAGGCAGCAGUGAGGAAUAUUGGUCAAUGGCCGAGAGGCUGAACCAGCCAAGUCGCGUGAGGGAUGAAGGUUCUAUGGAUCGUAAACCUCUUUUAUAAGGAAAUAAAGUGCGGGACGUGUCCCGUUUUGUAUGUACCUUAUGAAUAAGGAUCGGCUAACUCCGUGCCAGCAGCCGCGGUAAUACGGAGGACCCGAGCGUUAUCCGGAUUUAUUGGGUUUAAAGGGUGCGUAGGCGGCCUUUUAAGUCAGCGGUGAAAGUCUGUGGCUCAACCAUAGAAUUGCCGUUGAAACUGGGGGGCUUGAGUAUGUUUGAGGCAGGCGGAAUGCGUGGUGUAGCGGUGAAAUGCAUAGAUAUCACGCAGAACCCCGAUUGCGAAGGCAGCCUGCCAAGCCAUUACUGACGCUGAUGCACGAAAGCGUGGGGAUCAAACAGGAUUAGAUACCCUGGUAGUCCACGCAGUAAACGAUGAUCACUAGCUGUUUGCGAUACACUGUAAGCGGCACAGCGAAAGCGUUAAGUGAUCCACCUGGGGAGUACGCCGGCAACGGUGAAACUCAAAGGAAUUGACGGGGGCCCGCACAAGCGGAGGAACAUGUGGUUUAAUUCGAUGAUACGCGAGGAACCUUACCCGGGUUUGAACGCAUUCGGACCGAGGUGGAAACACCUUUUCUAGCAAUAGCCGUUUGCGAGGUGCUGCAUGGUUGUCGUCAGCUCGUGCCGUGAGGUGUCGGCUUAAGUGCCAUAACGAGCGCAACCCUUGCCACUAGUUACUAACAGGUAAAGCUGAGGACUCUGGUGGGACUGCCAGCGUAAGCUGCGAGGAAGGCGGGGAUGACGUCAAAUCAGCACGGCCCUUACAUCCGGGGCGACACACGUGUUACAAUGGCGUGGACAAAGGGAGGCCACCUGGCGACAGGGAGCGAAUCCCCAAACCACGUCUCAGUUCGGAUCGGAGUCUGCAACCCGACUCCGUGAAGCUGGAUUCGCUAGUAAUCGCGCAUCAGCCAUGGCGCGGUGAAUACGUUCCCGGGCCUUGUACACACCGCCCGUCAAGCCAUGGGAGCCGGGGGUACCUGAAGUCCGUAACCGCGAGGAUCGGCCUAGGGUAAAACUGGUGACUGGG